CGGCGAGUGAAGCGGCAACAGCUCAAAUUUGAAAUCUGGCGUUCUUGCGGGGGUCCGAGUUGUAAUUUGCAGAGGGUGCUUUGGCGUUGGCUGUGGUCUAAGUUCCUUGGAACAGGACGUCGCAGAGGGUGAGAAUCCCGUAUGUGGCCGCCAGUCUUCGCCGUGUAAAGCCCCUUCGACGAGUCGAGUUGUUUGGGAAUGCAGCUCUAAAUGGGAGGUAAAUUUCUUCUAAAGCUAAAUAUCUGCCAGAGACCGAUAGCGCACAAGUAGAGUGAUCGAAAGAUGAAAAGCACUUUGGAAAGAGAGUCAAAAAGCACGUGAAAUUGUUGAAAGGGAAGCGCUUGCAGUUAGACAUGCCUUUAGUUGCUCAGCCGGGCCUCUGGCCCGGUGCACUCUUCUUCAGGCAGGCCAGCAUCAGUCUGGGCGGUUGGAUAAAGGCCUAUUAAACGUGACUCCCCUCGGGGAGAGCUUAUAGGGUAGGCGCCAUGCGACCAGCCUGGACUGAGGUCCGCGCAUCUGCUAGGAUGCUGGCGUAAUGGCUGUAAGCGGCCCGUCUUGAAACACGGACCAAGGAGUCUAACAUCUAUGCGAGUGUUUGGGUGUCAAGCCCGGACGCGUAAUGAAAGUGAACGGAGGUGGGAUCCCUUCGGGGUGCACCAUCGACCGAUCCUGAUGUCUUCGGAUGGAUUUGAGUAAGAGCAUAGCUGUUGGGACCCGAAAGAUGGUGAACUAUGCCUGAAUAGGGUGAAGCCAGAGGAAACUCUGGUGGAGGCUCGCAGCGGUUCUGACGUGCAAAUCGAUCGUCAAAUUUGGGCAUAGGGGCGAAAGACUAAUCGAAC
rnacentral:rRNA from 1 species